rnacentral:rRNA from 1 species
UACGGAGGGGGCUAGCGUUGUUCGGAAUUACUGGGCGUAAAGCGCACGUAGGCGGCUUUGUAAGUCAGAGGUGAAAGCCCGGGGCUCAACCCCGGAAUAGCCUUCGAGACUGCAUCGCUAGAAUUGUGGAGAGGUAAGUGGAAUUCCGAGUGUAGAGGUGAAAUUCGUAGAUAUUCGGAAGAACACCAGUGGCGAAGGCGACUCGCUGGACAGGUAUUGACGCUGAGGUGCGAAAGCGUGGGGAGCAAACAGG